GCGUUUGUGGUUUAGUGGUAAAAUCCAUCGUUGCCAAGAUCUUCUGACUGGAAGAGUUCAGCUUCGAUGGGCCCCGGGUUCGAUUCCCGGCGAACGCA